GAUCAGUCACGCUCUCUCUACUCACGCACACACCACAUCCCAAAGUGCCCUGAUGGGGAAGAAAGAAGAAAAACAUUCUUGCUCUCUCGCUCUCUCCACCACCACCCUACUGCCUCUGAUCUGGCGGACUUAGUAAACACAAAUACUGUGUAGUAGUAGUAGUUUUUAGUUGUGUAUGAAUAGGGACAUGAAAUACAUUAUAUGAUAACAUGGAAAACACUGUCACGUUUAAAUUGUUUUAUUUUACCUUUAUUUAACCAGGCAAGUUAGUUAAGAACAAAUUCUUAUUUUCAAUGACGGCCUAGGAACAGUGGGUUAACUGCCUUGUUUAGGGGCAGAACGACAGAUUUGUACCUUGUCAGCUCGGGGAUUCCAAGACGCAUCAUCUUCAUGUGAUACGCACCCGCUCAAAACACCGCCGGAAGACACGUGUCGGCGGCAUCCAAUACUGUUGCAGUAUUUAGCGUUUGUUCGUUUUGAAAAAUGCAGAAGGAACCUCGUCUGUUGGAGUCAUAUGCUGCCAGUCGCAGCGGUUUUUGCCGAUUUUAAUCAUCCUAUUCCUGGCAACAUUAGGACAGAGGGACAAAUUACCCAGAUUGCCCAGGACUAAAUAGACGACAACAACAACGUGAGAUACUGAAGAUAAACCUACUAUCUUUUUUAACUUUAAAGUUCACAACGUUAUUUGAAAUGUCCCAGGGUUCUGGAAGAACAGGACGAGGACUCUCCCGGUCGCUGAAGGUAAAACCUAAGGGCGCUGGAGUAAAGCCCUUACUGCUUAUCGGCAGCAUCAAUCUAGGUGUGGUGCAGGCCAUUGAAAUCCCAUACCCGGAAGGUAUGGAUUCUGAGGCUGGGAAACAUCACAAGGGGGAAGUCUUGAGGAAACAUCCUGAGACUCUGACAGUGGAUUACAAAAAAGCACUGAGGAACAGAGUCAAAACCAACUAUGUUUUCUACACAGCGCACCCCACAGCCUGGCGUAGUGCCCUGCACCAAACCUACUCCGACACUGAAGAGAGAGACAUCAACAAUGCCGUACAGGUCAAAGUGUAUGUGGAUGACAGUCACUUAAAGGUUAUUACAGUGAAUCUUUAUCACACCGGUACCGUCGUGGUCCAAGGCUCUCAGACCCAGCUCAACAACUUUCAACAGGACUUUCAGGAACUGAAGGAAAAAGCUGAGCUGAAUAGAAGUAUUGUCACAUACCAAGGAGCAUGUUAGAAUUGCAAAUGUAUUGUGUUACAUUUGUGGAAAAUAUAGUGUGUGUUUAGAUAAGAAACAUCUUAAAAACAUAAAUUUGUACUUAAUUGUAUGCACUCAUACAUGAUAUAAAAUAUGUAUUUAAAAAAGAGAGAGAGUGUGUGUAUGUGUAAUACUGCCCUACCAAGUAAAAUAACAUAACCCCAAUUUUCUCCAGAACACAAUAGAGGCAGGAUACUUGUCCACAUGAUUAAGCAUGUAUUUAAUGUAGCAAAAAUGACAUGAACUCCUAUCAACCAAAUGAACAGUUACUGCCUUUUUGAUUGGUUGGGCAGCUACUCACUGGUCCUGUAGGUUGUCUGAGUUGGGAUGGUACUGUGUGUAUAAUACAGCUACUCACUGGUCCUGUAGGUUGUCUGAGUUGGGAUGGUACUGUGUGUAUAAUACAGCUACUCACUGGUCCUGUAGGUUGUCUGAGUUGGGAUGGUACUGUGUGUAUAAUACAGCUACUCACUGGUCCUGUAGGUUGUCUGAGUUGGGAUGGUACUGUGUGUAUAAUACAGCUACUCACUGGUCCUGUAGGUUGUCUGAGUUGGGAUGGUACUGUGUGUAUAAUACAGCUACUCACUGGUCCUGUAGGUUGUCUGAGUUGGGAUGGUACUGUGUGUAUAAUACAGCUACUCACUGGUCCUGUAGGUUGUCUGAGUUGGGAUGGUACUGUGUGUAUAAUACAGCUACUCACUGGUCCUGUAGGUUGUCUGAGUUGGGAUGGUACUGUGUGUAUAAUACAGCUACUCACUGGUCCUGUAGGUUGUCUGAGUUGGGAUGGUACUGUGUGUAUAAUACAGCUACUCACUGGUCCUGUAGGUUGUCUGAGUUGGGAUGGUACUGUGUGUCAGUACUCAUGUUGUUGUAGCGACCACACUGGUCAUCCAGACUGUAGGCCUGGUACUUAUCAGACCAGUCCAGCUCCAGAGUCUGCUUGGCAUCUCUGUUACACACACAGUAGGAGACAGUAAGGGGCAUAAAGCCAGUGGGAGGGUCUGCACUCAGGGUACAAUGGAUAGUGGUCGGUGCGAGGGUACUCUCACUCAAACUAUGAAAAGGAUAAAACGAGGCGGCCUUGAUACAAAGUGAUAAAAUGUGAUGAAUAAAAAGGAGAAUACGUUUGGGCUUCAAUGCCUUAACAUCAGUGCUGUUUAUCACCUGUUAGCACUUUUCAUAGGCACUUUUUGCAUCUCGGCCUCCUUGGUUUUUCCUUUGCAUGCUUUGCGGGUGAGUAGCUACGUAUUACAGACAGUAAUGGUUGGUUACACAUUAACUAUGCAACAGACUACAAACAUAAUUUAACUAGUUAAAAGG